UACGGGGGGAGCAAGCGUUAUCCGGAAUUACUGGGCGUAAAGGGCACGUAGGCGGGCUCUUAAGUCAGAUUUUAAAUCCAACAGCUUAACUGUUGAUCUGGAUCUGAAACUGGGAGUCUUGAAUGCAAGAGAGGAAAGCGGAAUUCCUGGUGUAGCGGUGAAAUGCGUAGAUAUCAGGAAGAACACCGGUGGCGAAGGCGGCUUUCUGGCUUGUUAUUGACGCUGAUGUGCGAAAGCGUGGGGAGCGAACAGGAUUAGAUACCCUGGUAGUCCACGCCCUAAACGUUGUACACUUGGUGUCGGAGGAUCUAACCCCUUCGGUGCCGUAGCUAACGCAUUAAGUGUACCGCCUGGGGACUACGGUCGCAAGGCUGAA
rnacentral:rRNA from 1 species